ACCUGGCUGCUCAGUCAGUAGAGCAUGAGACUCCUGAUCUUGGGAUUGUGAGUCUGAACCCCACGUUGGGUG
rnacentral:tRNA from 1 species